rnacentral:lncRNA from 1 species
UUUUGGUUUAAUAUUGAUGCUUUUGAAAUGGAUAAAAUUUGGUAUAAUGUGUUUUUUGUGGCAUAAGUGAAUUAGGUUUAAAAAGCUUGUUUCAGAAGGUUUCUACAAGUAGACACCACUUGAUACAUGGCUUAGCACAUGACCGUGUGCCAUACACGGGCACAUAGCAUGGCCGUGUGGUCUUCAUGUUUAAGGUAAUUUUGAUGCACA